CAGCGGACGUAAUGAAAACAUUCUGGCUCGAGUAUAGACCCCUGCGCUUGAGUCGAUUAGUCUUUUAUCGCCACUCGCCUGCAAGUUCCUAGAACACCACGAUGAAGACAACGGUGCUCGUACUGGCUAUCCUUCUUGUCUCAGCAGUGAUGCUGACGGAGGCGACACCAGCUGGCAAAGGUCCCGCCAGAGGAGGGGGCGCACGGGGGCGUCAGCAACGCAAGAAAUGUGGGAACUACUACUGCGAACCAAACGAAACCUGCGAGCCAUCUUUUGUGGGGCCUGCAUGUACCAAACACGGUGUGUACGAUUAAAAGACCAAUGGAUCAGCACCAACGAGAUCGACCUGCUUGUCUGCUCAAUAAAGUUACUUGCGCUCACCAA
rnacentral:lncRNA from 1 species